CUAACUAGGCUGGACUAUUAAAUGGAGCUAUAAAAUCGGAUCCUGCUGCAGGGAAGCUACCUCAUUAUCUUAUCUUCAAGAUUUUCAGAAGCCGAAUUGAAGUCGAGACAUUGUGUCACUCCGACUCACUCACCCUCGGAGCUAUACUUCGCACUCCUUCUCAAUCUCGCAUUUCCUCUUCUCAAUCUAAAACUCUUGGAACAUCUAUCGGCUGCUCAACUCACUCGUGUAUUGGGGCGGCAGCGAUAAGAAGACGGCAAAAGGAAAACGUUUUAAUCACUCCUUUGGCAAUGCGAGACAACAAGACAAGAAGAAAAGAGGAGGACCACUGAGAGUUCCGACACCGCCUACUCCACCAAGGAGAGGCUUGUCUAUUGUCCAGUGAUUGAGAAUCGGUUUUCUGGACUGACAUUUUGCACCCAGGAAUUCCCUUGGCCCAAAUGCCCUUGCUGGUGAAAAACAAGCCAUGAAGAAAUCAUAUGUACACUGUUUGUCAAAGAAUUAUAGAACUCAGUCAUGAAAUUUUCUACUCAAGUCACUUGACUGGAGAAUCUCAAUAUGGGGCGAUUUCGCUAAGUUUAAUAUCCGCAGGGUAGAUAGAAAGGUUGGAGAUGAGGAUGUCUGCAUAAAUUAUGAUAAAUAUAGCUGCUAAUGAGCUGGUAGCAAAGACGUGAGAUUUAAUGUUUCAACCAAGCACCCUGUGGCUUAGUAUCUUGUCCAUGAGAGUUGAAUAGGGACGGACUUUACGUAGUGAUCCAUUGUUGUUCUUCAGAGUAUAGCUUAUGCUCUUGUCUUUGUGCCUCCAUGUUAGCAAUGAGACUGUUCACUAAGGGACUAUUUCUCUUUUUUUUUUUUUGGGUCUUGGAGAAAUUAGUGU